UACGUAGGCGGAAGAUUAAGUCAGUGGUGGAAUCCCGCAGCUCAACUGUGGAACUGUCAUUGAUACUGGUUUUCUUGAAUUUAGUUGAGGUAGGCGGAAUGUGUAAUGUAGCGGUGAAAUGCUUAGAUAUUACACGGAACACCGAUUGCGAAGGCAGCUUACUAAACUAUGAUUGACGCUGAGGUACGAAAGCGUGGGGAGCGAACAGGAUUAGAUACCCUGGUAGUCC
rnacentral:rRNA from 1 species